CCUCAAGUUUCAGUGCAGGAACUUUCUGAGUGUUAAGGAAGAUAAGGAGAGAGAGCCCGAAGGGAUUCAGGGUGAUGUUGCAUCAGAAUUGGCUAGGUUGAAGAGGAAGAUUGGUAGGACCAGUGGUAAAAAUGUGGAAGAGAGUGAGGAGAGUGAGGAUGAGGAUGAAGACAGUGAGAGCGAGGAUUCGGAUUAUGAUUCAGAGAUUGAGAAGAUCAUUGCUCAAAAAAAUGGGUUAAAGGUUGGUAAAAAGGAGAAGUCAAAAAAGAAGAAUGAUGACUCAGAUGAUGAUGGGUCAGAUUCGGAUUCUGGGAAGAGGAAGAAGAGAGGAAGGUCGAAGAAGAGGAGGAGCAAGAGGAAACAUGCUGAUGAUUCAGAUGAUUCAGAUGAAGGUAGGAAAAGAAAAAGGAAGGAGAAGCGUAGGAAGAGGGAUGAGUCCUCGGAUGAGGACGGUGAGCGUCGGCGGCGGCACAGGAAAAGUAGGAAGGAGAAGAGGAGGAGGAGAAGUCAUCGGCAUUCAGAU
rnacentral:lncRNA from 1 species